GGGAGAACCACCGAUCUCCUUCUUGCUCACGUUCACGCUCAUCCUUUAAAUCCUUACAAGGAGUCUAAAAAUAACGCACCUUGCUUCUGGGUAGAAAGGAGGGUAUACCAUUCAUGCAUCAGGUGUUUACAACCAAAUCCAUGAGAGACCCGCUUAUAGUUGAAGCUUUGGAGUGCAGGGAGGCCCUUCUUCUAGAUAAGGAUAAAGGUUAUAGCAGAGUCAAAAUUGAAUGCUCUUGUGGUUAUUCAAUCUCUCGGAGUAAACCAAUUCCAAUUGAUAUUGAGGGGUGAUUGAAGAUAUUCUUUCUCUGGCUUCUGGGUUUCAAGAGAUGAGCUUCAGUUUUUGUUAAAAGAUCUUGCAAAGGUGCCGCACACGGUCUAGCAGCAAAAACCUUGCCGAUGCGUCUAGCACCUCGUCAACUUGUAAUCCAAGAAAUCAAUUGAAUCACUAACUUGGCCGUUAAAAU
rnacentral:misc_RNA from 1 species